CGUGCGGGCGGCCGGCGGGGCGGGCGACGUCCUUGAGGUGGAUGCGGCCUUGAAGGUUCUGAAAGCCGCACGGUUCGCCGUUCGCGUCGAGCGCC
rnacentral:tRNA from 1 species